rnacentral:lncRNA from 1 species
GCUAGUGCUUCGACUGUUGCAGACCGAUAAAGACCUGGUUCGCGUCAAAGGAAGGGAAGGGAUGACCCCUUUCCAUUGUGCAGCUGCAGCGGGGAACUCUAAUCUUUUAUUCCAGUUCCUUGAAACUUGCCCUGAAUGCGUUGAGGAUGUCACGGUUCGCAACGAGACUGCAUUACAUCUUGCUCUGAAAAACGACCACACCGACGCUUUUAAUUUCUUACUUGGAUGGCUUCGAAAGAACCGUCGUGGAGGAGGCAAGGAUUUGGAAAGAAAGGUUAUGAAUUGGAGAGAUGAUGAUGACAACACUGCGUUGCACAUUGCAGCUACAAAGCAACAACACCAGGUAUAGAUGCAUUAUAAUGAUAAGUUGCGUAUAUUCCUUUGAUAAUCUUACUAAUGACUGUUUAUAAUAUUCUACGCAGGCAGUACAACUGUUGUUGGAUUCCUUUUAUGGGUUAGAUGUAAAAGCUAAGAACUCGGAAGGCUUGACAGCUCGAGAAAUCAUAGAAAAAGUUGGAAGACAAGGGUUGAACAUGAGUAGCGCCGAAGACGAUGAUAAGACCACCGCCAAGAUUAAGCGCAUUAAGAAAAGAACUAGUCGGUCUGAAAGAGCAUUAGUAAGGUUGAUUCGUACAAAGAAUGGGUUGUCGGAGAACAUGAUCAACGCAACACUGGUGGUAGCGGCGCUGGUCAUAACAGCGAUCUACCAAUCAUCUUUAAGCCCACCGAGAGGUCUUUGGCAAGGUGAUAACACGAGUAACCCCACCACCACCUCAAACCUUACUACUACCACUAAAUUUGGACGCUUUAACGACAUAUACGAUGAAAAACGUUCUAAACAUGUGUUGGGUGAUGAAACAAUGAAACCUGGUACAGCAAUCAUGAAUCCCAACUUGUUUAUGUGGUUUUGGUUAGUCAAUUUUAUAGCAUUUGGGCUUCCGGUUCUUCUAACCGUUUUCCUUCUAUACGAUGUAGCUCAUAUUCUUCUUAUCCCGCUUUAUUUUCUAUCCGUCUCCUACUUUCACUGCAUGACAAUAAUAUCUCCGUCCAUGUUUUGGGCAAACCUCAACUUUGUUGUCAUGUGGACAGCCAUUAUUCUCCCGUCUGUCUUAGGUUUUGGAGGCGUAUGGUUAUGGAAGCGGCUAAAGUACCGGGAAAUGACACAAAUACGCAAACGUGUCCGCAAUGACAAAUAAUAUCGGAAUAAUUCAAUACUUGCGAAUGUCAGUCUAAUUCAUAUAUUAUAUUACGUACUCUUUUCCAUUUUCUCUGUAUUAAUAUCUUUUGUUUUUGAGAAAAAACAAAACACUAUGUAAUCGCUUUGGAUAAAUUUAAUAGGAAUAAAAUUACUUUUCCCGACCGAUAUAUUUGAAGUAUCGUUUGUUCAAAAUCAACUGAUUUCUAAAUGUGUUAAUAAUAUUUUCAAGUUAUUAAUUAAAAAUAUCUUUAACAUAAAGAUAUAUAUGUAAUAUAUAUUUAUUAUAUUAUUACAUAUUUAUUAUUUUGUUUAUAUAAUAAAAGAGUUAUAUAUUGAUUAAAAAGAUGAAUUAAAAAACUAGAAAUUAAUAUAUUUAUUAAUUAAAAAUUAACAUGAAAUAAAAAUACAAAUAUGAGUAGGAGAUGAAUUAAAACCGAGACUCAAAAAUAAAAUUACUAACAUUUAAUUAUUUGACCAAAUAAAUUAAUGUGCCAAGUUAUUAAAGAAAACACAUUUUAUCCUACAAGACACAUUUUACAUUUCUGUCUCCAAUAUUCCUAUAAAUAUUAAAAAAAUCCACUAAAAAGGACAUAUAUUGCUAGUAUACCCUAAACCUAGGAAGGGUGGCUGUGGUGCGCCACGCUUUCUAACGCAAAUAAUAAUAACAUCUAAAUUUCAUGAGAGUUUGGUGUCCCUGUUCUUAAUUCUAAAAAAUAGAAUCUCUCAAAUAAGAAUAAUAAAAUAAAAUAAUCUUAAGUCUCGUAUGCGAAAUUGAGUUUUUGUGUCAAAUUUUUUGUGCAAUUUGUAUAUUCGUUAGUUUCCGACUCAUUGAACAAAUAAUUGUAUUUAUAUAGAAAUGAUAAAUUAAGUAAAAUAUGUCAAUUAAGCAUAUUAUCAUCUAUAUAUUAUAAUAUUAACUAAUUUGACUAUCACUUAAAUAUAUAUUAUCUACUUUAUUUAUCUUUUGAAAUAUAUAUAUAUAUAUGUAUGUAAUACCCAAUUGGUGCCCGGGGCCCAAACUUAAUACAAACCCAAAUACAACACUCAUCCCAAAUACUUUUAAACCCAAAAAAUGGCCCAAAACACAAUAGUUCAACAUUUGCCCAAUACCCAGCCCUAACAAUUUUCAACAAAAGAAACCCUAGGCAACUUUCAUGCCUCAGCGCCGCGGCUGCACACCCCACGUCGUGGUUACCGUCUCACGUCGCAGCAACUCCAGCACGUUCUUCCUGCAGCAAACAACAAAUUACAGCCACGAACAAUAGUAGAAAAAUGUAAGGAAAACUGUGAAAAAGGAGCAGCAGUUUUUUGGCUCUCUUAUUUCGGCGAUUAAAGCCAAAUAGGAAUGGGUAAAAAGGGGGGCAAAAAUAUUGUAUACAGAUAUAUUGGAAAGAAGAAAAAGAAUAAAAAAGCAAUUUUGAAGGUAAUCAGGGGUUCCAUUUUUUUCUUUUUUUUUCUGUCUUGUUUUCUUUAUUUUCUUUCUUGUUCUUUAAAACAAAAAGAAACAAAGAGAAAGAGAGAAGGCUCUUACCAGAAGAGGUGCGCCGUUGACAUUGUUGCUUGAUUUCGGUGUGAGGAGCAAAGGAGAAGAUGAAGCAGCCCUUGUGGCUGCUGUUGCUAAAAAUGAAAUGGGGUUUUAAUUAGGUUUUAAAAUGGGUUUUAAACAUUGAUGGGUUAUUUACGUCUUUAACCCUUUCAUGUUUUCCAUCAUUGCAAAACCAUUGUUUUUUUGUCUUCAAAUUUUUCCAUGACAUAUUAAAUUUGUAUAUAUUUAAAUGUUUUCGUAUGUUACAAUAUUUAUAUGCUUAUACAUUAUAUAUAUAUAUAUUAAAUGGAUUUAAAUACAUAUACAUAUCUUUUAUAUUUACUAUUAUUUUAUUUUCAUAGUUUUAUAUAUGUAUAUAUCUAUACGUUUAUGUUUUAUAAUAUUCAUACAUUUCCCAUAUUUUAUAAUUCAUACAUUUAUAUAUAGUUUUUUAUAAUAUAUAUAUAUAUAUAUAUAUAUAUUAUUCAAAACUGUUAUAAAUACAUUUUUCACAUUCGUUUUAUAUAUACCUACAUAUACAUGCUUUCAAAAUUUAUUAAUAUUUUUUAUAUACUUUUACUUUUAUAAAUACAGGUACAACUUUUAUAUUUUAUUUUCAUAAUUUUUGUAUAAACAUAAUUUAAAUUAAAAUAUUUGUCCCAUAUCGCAUUGACAUUUUUAAUACAUGUUUUAAAUACAUUUUGAUUUUGUCAAAAUAUUAAAAUUAUUUUUAUGAUUCAAAAAUUUUCAAAAUAAAAACAAUAUUCAAAGUUAGGAAUUUUCGAGGAAAAUUGAGCCCUAACGUAUUGGGUUCCGAUUUUCUUUGUUAAUUCCAAAUAACCGAGAAUAUUCGUUAUUUAAAAUAUAAACAAAAAUUAUUUUCGGGAAUUCGAUAUGUUAUGUCCUAAUGCAUUGGGCAUAACAUAUUAUUUUUUUUCUUUUUUUUUUCGAAAUAAAAUUUUUUCUUUAAAAAAAUAAUUAAAAAGAGAUAUUCAAAAUUCGGGGAUUUUGAGAAAUUGUACCCUAACGUAUUGGGUCUCAAUUUCUUCACAUGACUUGAAUAAUUGAUUAUCCUUUUUAGAUUUCAAAAUUUGAGUUUAACAAAAUCUUUUUAAUUUUCGACACUAAGACAUUAAACAAUCAAUUUGGUACCGAUUUUUGGGCGUUACGAGGGUGCUAAUCCUUCCUCGUGCGUAAUUGACUCCCGAACCUCUUUUCUCAAAUUUCGCAGGCCAAAAUUGCUUUUAAGGUGAGCCGAUCACACCUCAAUUAAGGAUCGGUGGUGACUCCAAUUUUUGUUUUUAAAGUCGAGAACUAAAUUUUGUUUUCAAAAAAAUGGUUUCGACAGCUUGGCAACUCCGCUGGGGACUUUAGAGAGUCGAGCCAUAAAUUGAUUAUAUUUGUCUUUGUGUCGAAAAUCAAAAGUUUUUUUUAAAAAAAAAUUCAUGAGUUCCCUUCGCACUCAUUGAUGUUUUAUCAUGGUAUUUUGGCAACUUUGCAUCUGCAUAUUGCAUUACAUAAUCGCUUGAUUAUUCCCUUCUAAGUGGGAGUGAGAAGCUACUCCUUCGUGAGGUUUUCACCUCCGUGCAGGAUAGUGGAUCACUUUCGGGAUACAUCCGUACCUAUGUCUUCAUGAGAUUUUCAUCUCCGUGCAGCCAUAGGGAAAUGUAUCCCCCUGAACUGAAUUCGGUCUGUAUGAGCCUAUAAUGGGUGAGGAUCGAGGAAUCUGCUGGUUCAGGUACCCUUGCCCUAGAAGCCAAACCUCAUAUAGUGAACCUUAGGAACCCACCCUAGGUAGAAUUACUUUGAGCCUCAGUAGACACCUAAUUAGGAGUUUUUACUAUUUAUUGGUUGUAUUGCAUUUAAUUGUUACUGACUUUUUGUGUUUUAUUCUGAUUACAUGGCAUUCCAUUAUAAAGAGGCGUUGUUUCGUAUUCGGUUGCUAGACAGAAAGUUUAUCAUGGGAAAUGAGUUUCUUGAUAAAGUGGAAGAUAAUACGGCUGCCUGAAUAUAUUCCAAGAAACGCAAGAAGGGUGAUGGAAGAAUACAUGACUUUACUUCGUGCCUCAAGGUCAAGUUGAUUAUUCAAGAGUUUCUGACAUUCCAACUGCCUUAAAGAAGCUGAGGAGCAUUACGGGGAUGGAUAGACGUUGGACCAGGAUCAAGCAAAAAGGAGGUAGAGGAGAUACCCCUUUUGAAGAAUUCGCAAGAUUUAUCUUAGCAUCCAGAUGAAGAAGGAGAAUAUGUCUUCUCCUGGAGUAUGAGGGCAAAGACGUAUAUAUAUCCGCUUUAUGUAAAGAAAUUUAUCUUCUAGUAAAGUUCGAACAGUUCCAAAAAGAAAUGCAUGAGCAACUUCAGCAGCAGAUGCAGGAGCAGCUCGAGAAGGUUCAAGAGAAAAUGAUGGAUAAAAUGAUGGAAUCUCAAGGAAGUAUGAUGACAAAGUUAACGCAGUUGUUGACAGAAUGGAAAAAUAAAGGAAAGAGCCCCAUGGCCAAUGUUGAGGAGGAAGGUGAUGACGGACCCUUGUAUCCUCCAGGCUUUAAUCCCCCAGAUGUACAGCCCCAAGUGGAAAUGUACCCUCGUAAAUCUUCUGUUACCAUUAGGCCUCAGCAAUUUCAGGCCGAUGCUUCAAAGGCGAUGAAUUACCAAACUAGAUCAGGCUCUAGCCCUGAGAAUAUCCCCGUCAAUCUUGUAGUCCCUGACUUCGAUGAGGUGGUCGAAAAGGAAAAAGCAAAGGAAGAAUUGCGAAAGCAAUUGGAAGAAAUGUGGAAAUGGGUCGAAGAGAAGUUCAAGGCGAUGGAAAGUACUGAGAGAUAUGGUGGGAUUGAUGCUAAAGAUCUGAGUUUGGUACCAGAUUUGGUGCUACCUCACAAGUUCAAAAUGCCAGAAUUCGAGAAGAAUAAUGGGACCUGUUGCCCUGAGGCCCACAUUACCAUGUUUUGUAGACGAAUGACUGGGUAUGUCAAUAAUGAGCAGUUAUUGAUACACUAUUUUCAGGAUAGCUUCAUGGGAGCAGCGUCUAAAUGGUAUAAUCAAUUGAGCCGUGCUAAGAUUAGUUCCUGGAGGGAUUUGGCACAGGCUUUUAUGAAGCAGUACAGUCAUGUGGCAGAAAUGGUUCUUGACAGAAUUACUUUGCAAAACAUGGAGAAGAAGUCGAAUGAAGGUUUCAGGCAGUACGCUCAGAGAUGGAAGGAGGUUGCAGUUCAGGUCCAACCACCGCUCCUUGCAAGAAAAAUGGUGAUACUCUUUAUAAAUAUGUUGAAGGCCCCAUUCAUCACACAUAUGUUGGGAAGUGCCACAAAAGGCUUUUCUGACAUAGUUAUGAGUGGUGAGAUGAUUGAGAGUGCUAUUAGGAGCGGAAAGAUUGAUGCUGGAAGAAAUAACAGAAAGUAAGCCCCAAAGGAAAAAGAAAAUAAGGUGAACAGCGUGAACACGUACAGCAAAUCGAUUAUGGUGAAUCAGCCAGGAAAGGUGGUUACUAAUCAGCAAGGUUCAUCAAAACAAGAAUCAGGUGUGAAGCCAGGUACUGAGAAGCUCCAGUUCACACCAAUUCUGAUAUCCUAUAAGGAGCUGUAUCAAAGCUUGUUCGAUGCGCAUGUUGUUGCUCCUCAUUACUUAAAACCUCCACAACCUCCGUAUCCUAAGUGGUAUGAUGCGAACGCGCAAUGUGACUACCACGCGGGAAUUACGGGGCACUCAAUAGAGAAUUGCAUUACCUUUAAAAAACUAGUUGAAAAAUUCAUCAACAUGGAUAUUGUCAAGUUGGGUGACUCAUCUAAUGCAGAAAAUCCGCUACCCAAUCAUGAUUGACAAUAAGGUGAAUGCGAUGUAUGAAGAGAUGUGGGGAAGCGUUCACAUCAAUGACAUGUAUGAAGACACAACUGAAGAAAGGGCCUUGUUAGAUGUCUGCCUUUAUAAAUUUGAGAGUGUUCUAAGCAAUUUGGAUUGCGGAAGAGACCCCUGUAGUUUUUAGAGCUUAUUUAGAGUAAUGUUCGGAUCAUUUUUGUUGUUUUUAGCCUAAAAAUAAUAGAAAUUCCUUUGUGAAAUAGGCUCAUGUCUGAACGUCAUUAUUCUAAUGAAAUGCAUCCUUGCGAUUAUUUGUGAACUAAUAUUCUUUCAGUCUGUCUGAAUAGUUAUUCUUUCAUUCUUUUGGAUUUUCUUCCACAUCAUUCAUUCAUUCAUAAUCAUAUUGUACAGAUAGUUCUUCAUAAAUUUAUACAUUCUUUUGUAUAUUCUUUGGUAUUUAUUAUGGGCCCCCAGUUAUCAAUGACAUGAAUGACACUACUACAUGAAAUUAUAUUCUUUAAUUCACAAGGUGAAUAAAUCUACAGUAUCACUUAUACAUAUUAUCCCAAGCUUAGUAGGAUUUUAUAUAACUUUAACUCUUCAUAAUUUCUUUAUUUUCAUUUGCAUUUCUUUACUUUCCACGCUUAUUCCAUAUAUAUGCAUGACACACAAGUCAUAAACAUAUCAUUCAACCAUGGUUACAAGCUAGUGCAUUUAACCAAAGCCUUUUUCGAAUUGAUCACAUGAUAAGGCAUUUCAUAAGAAAUUGCAUAAUUUAAACCUUACCACUUUUUUAUGAGCACUAGUAUAUUUUCACUUAAAUACUUACCAAUUCAAUGCAUUAUAUAAAUAAUAAUUCAACCAAUAGCCUGACACUUGCCUAAGCAUCAAGCAGCAACACCGGUUAGUGUCUUUGCACACAUUACAUAUAAACUCAUCAUGCAUAAUUUUCUUGUAUCAACAUAUUAAAGAUAAUCAUACAUUCACAUGUCAUGAUACAUAUCAUUCUCUUAUCGUUUCUUCAUAGGCAUAUAUCAUUCAUUUCAUUAUUUCGAUAUUUCAUGUACCAUCAUUUUCAUGAAUUUCGCGUACAUACCGAUAAUAGUUCAUUUCAAACUCAUGUUAUCUCACUUCAGAAAUUUGCCCGUUAUAUCAUUUAAAUAUCAAUGGUUACAUUUAUUUCAGAUCAAUACCAAUAAUAAUCUAUAAAUGUUUCAAUUCAAUCACAUAAGUCUUUUACUGUUUCUUUCUAAAUCAAAGAACGACUUACAGAUAUGAGUACAUCGUUCUUUUUAUGCCAUAGUCCAACUAUGGUCUUACACAUGCAUUGCCAUGGCCCUGCCAUGGUCUUUCAUUAGUUAAUAUCAUAUACUAUCACAUUGAGCCAUUAUUUAUCUCAUGAAUAUUUAGUUCAUGCUUUCUAAUCACAUUUUCAUAUUCAAUUCACAUUUUCAAAUUAUAUUCCACAAUCACGUUUCUUUUCAAUGGCUCAACUGAUUCAUUUCGUUCAAUUUAACUUUUCAAUUAAUCAACCCUAUUAACAGACUCGGACUUUGACGGAUACAAGGAUCCAACCCAAACACACCAGUACAACAUAUUGUGCCUAAAACGGUACAUAGUACCUGAUUAGUAAUCAGUAAUGGUAGCAGUAACAGUAACAGUAACAGUAACAAUAUUCAACACACAAAGUGCUGAAUCUAUAACAGUAACGGUAACAGUAUUCGACACACAAAGUGUCGAAUUGGUAACAGUAACAGUAGUCGGCAUAUAAAUGCCUGAUUAGUAAGCCGGCAAAAACUUGUACUCUUCCAUAUCCUAUGGCAUGCCAACUAUAUCUGACUCAGCCCGACUAGUUAAUAGGGUAUUAAAUUCACUUUUCAAUACAAUUUCCAUCUUAAUUCAGUAUCAAUUAUAAUUCCUUAUUUCAAUCAAUUUCACAGUAUUGCAAUAAUUCAUUACUUCAGUAAUUUCACAGUUCAAUGCAGUACACAUAACAGUAUUCAGUAACUUCACAAUUCAAUUCAGUACUCAAAAACAAUAUUUAGUAUUCCAUAAUGCAGUUCAGUAUCAGUCUCACUUUCAAUACCCAAUCAUAAAUUUUCAUUUGAUUCAAUUUCACAUUUCAAUCGAUAUUUCAUUCAAUUUCGAUAAGCAAAUUCACUUCCAACAUCAGUAUCACAUAUCAAUUUCCUCUUUCUCAAUUCAAUUCCAAUAAAAUCCAUAUCAAUCACCAAUUUCAAUAUUCCAGUUCAAUACCACAAUAGUUCAAUAGUUCAAUUCAAACCAUUUCAAUUUCUAUUCAAUAAUCACAUUUCAAUUUCACUUUCUUAAUUCAAUAUUCAUCUCAAUUAGUCACAUAUAAUCACAGUUCAAUCUAAUUUCAUUCAAUUCAAUAUCAAUACUUAAUUUCAAUAAUCAUAUUCACUUGAAAUCAACUCCAUUCAAAACAAUGUUAUCAUACCAAAUUUCUUACCUUAUUUAUUUACCAUGCUUUUCAAUUAAAACACAAUAAUUAAUAAUAAUUAGAUUUUAAAUACAGUAAUACAAACUUAUUAGGCUAAAUUGUAGAAAUACUAAAAAUUUAGGGACAUUUUGGUAAUUUUUCAUUUUCCUCGAAUUUCCACCCAAUCUUGAUCUAAAUCAAUAUUUCAUUCAAUUUAUUAAUUAAAACAAUUCAUUUCAUGCAACUUGGUCUUUUUUGAAUUUUUACAAAAUUACCCUAAAAUUUUACUUUUAUUCAAUUUAGUCCCAGAACCUAAAACAUGUAAAUUAGCUAUUUUUUUUAAAUAAACUCAUAUUAGCUGAAUAUUCACAUAUAUUUUUCCUCCUCCUCCAUUCCAUUCCACAUCCUUGAUAUAUAACACACUCAAUUAUCAUUAUCCAAAAUUUCACUAUUUGCUCAUAUGUAAAUUCAAAGUUGUUUAUUUGAGUCAGAGUCACUAAAUUAUUUAUAACUCGAGGUACAGGACUCAAAAUUAAGAUCUGUUAAUUUUCCCUAAAACUAGACUCACAUAUCUUAUUACCAUAAAAUUUUUAGAAUUUUUGGUUUAGCAAAAUAUUACAUUUUAUUCAUUAAAGUCUCCCCUGUUUCACUGUUCAAUAAUUCCAACCACUCUUCACUAAAAAUUAAUUAUCUCAUAGUACAGAAUUCGUAUAAUGUUCUUGUUUGUUUCUUUUAAAAAUAGACUCAUUCAGGAUUUUAAACAUAUAAAUUUUAGCCCAUAAUUAUUUUUUUAAAAUUUUUUAUGAUUUUCCAAAAUCAGAACAGGGGAGCCCGAAUUCAUUCUGACCUUAUCUCACAAAAUUUAUUAUAUCUCAUGAUUUAAAAUUCCAUUACUUACACCGUUUAUUUUAUAAGAAACUAGACUCAAUAAUAUUUAAUUUCAUAUUUUUUUCAUCUUCUAAUUCGAUUUUCAUGAUUUAUUGUGAUUUUUCAAAGUUAACCUACUGCUGCUGUCCAAAACUGUUUUAGUGCAAGAUGUUGAUUACUAAGUUUAUAAUUCUCUUAUUUCCUUCCUCUAUAAUAUUUCCCAUCACUUUCACUUAUUUCCUUUACUAACAUAACAAGAAUAUAGAGCUUUAUAUAAUGAAACUCUACAUUAACAUUAAUUUCCUACUUUUUCAAUAUUAUCAAACUCAAAAAUAUAUUGAAAUCUUGAUGUUCUUACAUUGUGUUAUUGAUUUCAAUCUUUAACUUGAUUUUCUCUCUCCUACAGCUUCUAUUUCUUGAAUCUAACUUGAUAUUCUAGCUCCCCAUAGUCUCCUUGUUGUCUUUCUCUCUUGAUGGCUAUGGAAAUUCUUUUGAUUUCUAGGUGAAAAUGGUAAAUUUUUUGUGAAAGGACCAAAUUGUAAAGAAAACAAAACUUUCUUUCUUUCUCUCUUCUUCUCACGUUGGAUGCAUGGGAAGAUGAUGAUUUCUUUCAUCCUUUUUAUAUUAAUAAUUUAAUAAUAAAAUAAUACUAAAAAUCUUAAUAAAAUAUUAAUUAAAUAACAUUUAUCUAAUUAAUUAAUUAAAAAUAUCACCAACAUAUCAUUACCUUCUAGAGUUCUCUCUCUAAUUGACCAUUUUGCCCUUCAUAAUAUUUUAAAAUUUCAACCUUGAGUCAUCACUUAAUUUGGUAAAAUUACAAUUUAGUCCCUUAAAAUUCUUCACCUUUUCAAUUUGGUCCUAAAUUUUCUUAAUUUCUAGAUUAUUCCACCCAUAAAAUAUUUGCACUAUUGGUCCUUCAAAUUUUUCAUAUUUACACUUUAUCCCCUCAAAUUUUGAGUAUUUACUUUUGGUCAACAAAACUUUUCUCACUUUUGCGAUUUAAUCCUUUCUUGAAUUAAUAUGUCAUAAUAUACUUCCCAGUGUUGCCAUAACUCAAAAUUUCCCUUUUUGUCACUUUAUUUCCUUAUUUUACUAUAUCAAGAAUAUCUACUUUCUUACUGUAGUAAUUUUCGGGGUAUUACAUAAAACACUUGAAUUAAACUGUAAACAUGUGUGUACCUACCAUGUAUAUAACAUGAAUCUUAUGCAUUAUAAAGCAAAUAGUGUCAAUAAAAUUUAGAAGGGCUAUUUAUUUUAACACAUUAUAUCCAAGCUGUCCACAUAAUAGGUACAUACAUAUUUAUAAUUUAAUCCAAUUGUUUUAAAUAUAUCUCAUGUCAAAUUUGAAUUGACUUUUUAAUGCUCAAACUAAUAGCUACAUUAACGGAAAAACUUAACUAAUACGAUUUUAAUACAUCAAGGGCUCAAUUAAAAUGUCUUGAAAUUUGAAAACCAUUUCAAAAUCAUAAUCAUAAUUUUGAUGUCAUCCGGCGAGUUUAUAAAUUUAGUGUUUGGACAAUUUAUUGUGGAUUUAUAACAACUUAGAUGUUAUUAAUUACAUUUCACGAAUAAUUUUUCUUCAAUUAAAUGUUUUAUAUUGCGUCGAUUGAGUCUUAUCUAGAUUGACAUCGAUAUUAUUGUCAGUACAAGAGAACGUGGAUUCGAGUGCGCUAAAACGUAUUAUCCUCUUAUUUAAAGGUCAGGGAGGGGUUAUGGGUAGUUUUAGGUAUUGUAUAAAAAAGAACAACUAUGAUAAAUAACCUAUAAUGAGACUAAUGUUAAAAAAAAUGGCUUAGAUCACAAAGUAUACUAUAAAUUUUUUUAUUGUGAUGAUAUUAAGAAUAAUAUUUUGGACAAAUCCCUAGAAUUUAUCUUUUUUAUUGAAAAUUAGUAUAAUUUUCGGACCAUUCUUUGCAUUCAGUUACUUAUUUAUUUGUGUUAACUUACAGAGCAAAAAUUUUAAGGUUAAAAUUUAUUUUAAGUCACUAUACACUUCAUAUAUUUGGAAUUUAGUCACCUUACUUUUAUUUUAGGAAUUUAGUCCCUUUAUUUUUUGGACUUAAUUAUUGCUAAAAUUCUUCUAUUAAAUUAUCUGACGUGAAAUUUUAAAUUUUUAAAAAAAUUCACUUAAUAAUAAUGUAACAAUAAAAAUAAUGCUGGAAAUAUAAAUUAGGAUUUUUUUUCUUAAAAACACUCAUUUGAACUUGUCAUGAUAAAAAAUAUAAUUUUUUUUGUUGGAAUAGUGUUCUUAAAAAAAAUUGAUGUUAACAUUUAAUUGAAAAUUAACAAUAUUAACUAUUUAAACUAUUUAAUAAUAUUAUAAAUAUAUAAGAAUGAAAUUAUGUUAUAAAUUAAUUUAAAGAAAUUUUGGUAGGUUCAAACCUUUUAUAUAUAGGUAUAUAAAUUUAAAGAAUGGACUGUCAUGUUGCAUUAUGGUAAUCUUUAAUUCAGCAAAUUACAAAUUAAUAACAAAGUAUUUAAUAUAAUUUUUUGUAUAUUUUCAUUUUUUGCUACUUUUCAUCAUUUUUUAAUAGUUUUUUACAUGCUUUCUAAUUUUUUUUAUGCUUUCACAAUUAAGUUUAGAAAAUAAAAAUAAAUUUUUGGUAUAAAAAAUAUUACUUUUAGGUACUAAGAAAUUUGGUUGAGAUGAACAUACAAAAAUAUUGUUUUUGCAUACUAAUAAAUUUAUUUAUAUACAAGGAUAAAUUAACAAAUAUUGAAAAAUAAAUAAGUAAAUUAAUCAAAUUUUCAAGUUUCAAUUGGUAAUAAAUUGCUAAAUCGAAAAUUUGACACGUAUAAUUUUUAUUAUCAUGAAUUGUUACACGGGCUGUCACAUUAGUGUUUAGUAAAAUUUAGAGAUUUAAGAUCAAAGUGAUACAAAAAUUAAGAGUAAAAGUGAGAAAAUAAAUAAAGGUUAAAUUAAUUAUUAUAAAAAAACAUUAAAAAAAGAAAUCAAUUACAUAGUUGAAUAUAAACAUGAUUAUGACAAGGUUGCCACUACGGAGAAGUCUAUGUAAUUGUCUGAAUUCCUUGUAGUUUGGUGACAUCCAUAAGCGGAUGACUCCGAAAAGUAGGGCAAAGGGGAUAGCAGCGGUUACAUUGGCAAGAAUAUAAUUAACGUCUACCCAAAACGACGAGGGUGAUAUUAUUGUCAUCGAAUAAAAGUAGGAGACGCUCAGAUAAUAAAGCGGGAUCAGGAGUAAACGAGGAACAUUGGAGAGGAGAAAAACUGUUAGAAGAACCGGCAAGCCAUAUGCUAUAAGAUUAUAAACCCAAAACCCAUAAUACAUGUCGGGAUUCAUCACUGUUGUACCGGUUUUCCUUGUUUCUUCACCCAACAGGUGUUUGAAUCUGGAUUUAUUGUAAUUGUCGUCUAAGAUUUGAAGAGUAUUUGAGUUGGUGGUGGGGAUACUGUUAUUAUCACCUUGCCAAACACCUCUCGGUGGGCUUAAAGAUGAUUGGUAAACUGCUGUUAUAACUAGCGUCGCAACCACCAACGUUGCGUUGAUCAUGUCCCCCGACAACCCGUUUCUUGCACGAACCAACAUUGUUAAUCUUCUUUUAUGCCAAUGGGUUCCUUUCUUAAUGUGUUUAAUCUUGGUGGCGGUGGCGUCACUCAUGUUCAAACCUCUUCUUUCGACCUUUUCUAUGAUUUCUCGACUUGUUAAACCAUCUGAGUUCUUAGCUGUUACGUCUAAGUAUUUCCCGACAUAUAAUAACAUUUUUAGUGCCUGCGUAAUUAAUAUAUUAUCACACUAUUAGAUAAAUAUAUCAACAGCUAGCAUAUAUAUAUAUAUAUAUAUAAAGGGAAAUUAGUAUACCUGGUGUUGUUCCUUUAUAGCUGCAAUGUGUAACACAGUGUUGCCAUCAUCAUCUCUCCAAUUGAUAACCUUCUUUUCCAAUUCAUUGGCUCCUCUACGACGAUUACUUUGAAGCCAUCCGGUUAAGAGAUUAAACGCUUCGAGGUGAUCGUUUUUCAAAGCAAGAUGUAACGCAGUCUCGUCUCGAACCGUCACAUCUUCAAUGCAUUCAGGGCAAGCUUCGAGGAAGUGGAAUAAAAGAUUAGAGUUCCCCAUUGCGGCUGCACAAUGGAAAGGAGUCAUCCCUUCCCUUCCUUUGACUCGAACCAGAUCUUUAUCGGUCUUCAAGAGUCGAAGCAGUAGCUCGGUGUGGCGGUUUCUGAAGGCCAAGUGCAUGGGGCUAAAUCCAUCUUGGCUUAGCUUCCUAGCAAACGAAGGCUUCAAGUUCAUCAUCUCCAUUGCCAGCUUAAUUUGGCCUUCAGUUGCAGCUAUGUGAAGUGGAGUAUCAAUGAAAGGAAUGUGGUCAAUGCGCUCCAACAUGUACGGAUCCUUUUGAAUUAAAGCAUAAAAGGCAUCAAUAUUUCCUGUUGCAGCUGCUUCUCUCAAGCUAUCAUUCAUGCUCAUCUCCUUGACUUGUAAAAUAACAUACCACCAAUGAUCCUUAUUUAAAACAUUAUAAAGUACGUCCUAAUUGCUUGACUUUUACGUAAAGAGUGAUUUAAAGAAUAGAAUAAAUUAAAUAUUAAGCAAGGAAUAGAAUAAAUUACUCUUAGAAGUAAAAGUUGUUUGUAUCCACCGCCACAAUUACUCUUCCAUAGUGAGAAAGAGUAGAAUAACACAGGUAAUAGAUUUUAUUCUAUUUUUAUUUUUAGAAAUUUAACUUCUUUAUUUUUUAAAUUUAAUUGUUAUUUUUUUUGUUAUAUUUAGGUUCGUUACAACUCUAAAUUUUUGUUUCAUUGCUACUAAGUGAAUAAUUUUCUUUUUAUUUCAAAAUGUCACGAUAAUGAAUUUAACAGAAAAAAUAUAGUUAGAGUUAACAAUUAGACUUGAAUUUUGAAAUCUAAAAUAUAGAAAGACUAAAUUUUUUAAAAUAAAAAUAGAGGCAUUAAACUAUAAAUAUAUAAAGAUUACAGUGAUUCAGAGCAUAUUUUAACUCAAAUCCAACUCUUUUAUUAUUAUUAUUAUUAUGAAAUUAGAUUUACGUUUCCAAAGAGUGAAUUUGAUAAUUUUAUUAACUAUGCAGGCACUAAAGCUGUUGUUAUAUUCCAAUGUUGGGUUACAUGUAACAGCUAAUAACUCGGAAGGUUUGAUGGCUCGAGAAAUCAUAGAAAAUGUUGAAAGAAAAGGCUUGAGCAUGAGUGGUGAAGAUGAUGACAAGAUUAAGCGCAUUAAAAAAAAACUUGAUACCCUUGAACUGAUAUUAGUAAUGUUAAUUCGUGCAAGGAAUGGAUUGUCGGAGAACAUGAUCAACGCAACGCUGGUGACUGUGGCACUGGUUAUAACAGCAAUCUACCAAUCAUCUUUAAGCCCACCCAGAGGUGUUUGGCAAGUUGAUAACAACAGUAUCCCCACCACCACCUCAAACGUUACUACUACUGCUCUUCAAAUCUUUGACGACAAUUACAAUAACUCCAGAUUCAAACACCUGUUGGGUCAAGAAUCAAGGAAAACAGGUACAACAAUCAUGAAUCCCGACUUGUAUUCAAUGUUUUGGGUUUGUAAUCUCCUGACAUUUGAGCUUCCGCUCCUCUCCAAUGUUCCUUCUUUUCUUCUCAUCCCGCUUUAUUAUCUAAGCGUCUCCUACUUUUACUCGAUGACACUAAUAUCCCCGUCGUCGUUCUGGGAAAACGUCAAUUAUAUUCUCACGUGGUUAGCCAUUCUUUUCCCACUUCGCUUACUUCGCUUAAUCAUACGACCACUUAUGUCACCAGCUUACAAGGAGUACAUACGCUUCCGUAGAGCUAUUCUUAGAGCCAACAAAGUCGGGAUCAUCCGACCCUUGCUAAGGGGUAAUCUAGUUGAUAUUAUAUUAUGUCCUUGAUUUUUUUUAAUUGAACUUCUUUUUCUUUUUGUUUAUGUAAUUGCUUGGGAUAAAUUUAAUAAAUAAAAUUACAUCAAUAGUCUUUUAAUUUUGUUUGUACUUAUGUUUCAAUCACUAAAUUUUUAAAAAUUAUAAAUUUAUUAUUAAUGUGAUCGGAUUGUUUUUAGAAUAACACGGGUUUGAUGUGAAACUUUAAAUAUGUCAUAUAUGUUUAAAAAAAAUUCCUUUCUCUCUUUUUUCGGAUAUUAAAAUAUUUCUUCUUCUCACCUUAUCCUAUCUUCUCUUUUUUCUUUCUCCACCAUUAAUGCUCUCACCACCUUACUAUUGCCAGUACUCACCACUAUCAACAAUUUCACCAUCUCACCACAACCAAACAUGAACCAACAACCGACUUUACCCAUAAUUAUACUCAUAAGGUGUUUUUCUCUUCCCUUUAUGAAUAUAAUUGGUUCGAUUUUUUGGUUCAAAGAAGGUUCAAACAAUCAACACUCAAACAGUCAAUAGACUGUCGGAUAGAUCACGUGCAAAACCAACCUAACCUAUGAGUAUAUCCAGAAGAGAAAAGUUAUACAAGUCCAACCCCCCACAAGUUCCCAGUCGGCUCAUCCCAUUGACCUUUCCACACCUUCGAAUUGAUUGGUGCAAUUGGAAUUGCAUUGCCAAAUGUAACACAUGAAGCUCAAGUGCUGACCAUCUACUAGAGGUGGACCAAGGCCCUCGAAGAGCCACCAACGUUGACAUCGCCUCCAGACUUGAUUGUUAUUAUUAUAUUCUUUUCAAAUUAUUUUAGUUGUUGUUUAGAAUGGAUCGUGACUAAAUUUUAUUAUGUAAAUAAAGUUUUGAAAAUUAUAUUGAACUUAGAAAGAAGUUAAAUUAUUCAAGUGAAAAAACGUUAUUUUGUAAUAGUGCAUUUGAUUGUAAAAUCUUUUUGUUCUAAUUUUAUAGACUAAAUUCUCAGGAGGAUAAUUUAGCAGUGAUAGAUCUAGUCUUCAAGGUACAAGAGUAAAGAUUUUAAACUGGGAUGUGUUAGAAUUAUGUUCAAUGAUUGUAAUUGUUGAAAGAUAGUGGAUUCUCCUCAUUGAAUUAGGCAUGCAUAGAGAAAUUGAAUUACGUAACCAACCUUGUUAUCCUCUAUUUUAAUUUUGGUAUCUCAAUGCUUGCAGGAGUACGCACUUUUGCAAUCAUUUUUGCUCGUAAUUGCAUAAAUAACAUUAAUAUCUUUUUUUUGUCAUUGUUUCUUUUGAAUGGUAUGAUGAAAUAACUUUGUAUAACUUUAAAAUGUAAAUUUGAGGAUUUUAGAUCUUUUUGAUGUUUUUAGAUUUUUUUAAAUUGUUUUUUUAGAGUUAUUGUUUAAAAAUCUUAAAAGUAUUAAAAUAAAUCAUAUAAAAACAUGUUUAUAAUUCAUAUUUUUCACAAUGAACUAAUAAUUUGAUCAUACUUUAUUCUAAUUAUAAGGAUGUGAUUGGACAGCAUAUAAUAAUUAGAUGGAAGUGUAAUUAUUAAUGUAGUAACUAAUAAUGACACCCUCUUAUACUUCUAAAUCCCUAAAUAUUGUUUAAUUGAUAGAGUUUAAUUAUAUCCUAAUUCUUUAUAUUGUUUUUUGUAAUACAAAUUAUAAUUAAAUAACUAAAUACUUUUAAAUUCUAUAAUCAAACCAUCAUAUGAUAUGUUAAUUAAGAAAGUAUUCAACAAUACAAUUAUAAAUAAAAAAAACAUAAAAAAUAUUGUAUACAAUUUUAUCAAAUUGCUGUGGCAUUCUAUAUUUGUUGGGCUAUUUUCUUAGUAACAUUAAGCAUAUACGUAGGUCAUUUGCUAAGUAUAGAUAAUUAAUCAUAAAUAAUAUGUAUCAGAUUUUAAAUUAUUUAAACAAAAUUAGUAAAAUAACAAUAAUUAUAUUUUAAAAAUAUAUGUUAUAAAAUUAAAAUACUAUUAUUAUUGAAUAGAAAAACUUAAACUAGAAUCGUGUACUGGUGUAUUUAGAAAGUCAUGAUAUAAUUAGAUUUAAGCGUAAUUGUCUGUAAUUAGUUGCAUAAUUUCCACAAUUCUCACCCUCUCUAGGAAUUGAAAGAGUGUAAUUGACAACUUGGCUACCAAAAUCUGAAACAACAGUGACAGACCAAAUCCGUUACAGAUGUUGCGACUCCAUCACUGUUUCCAUUUGGUGACGGUUUGUGAUGGAUUUUUGUGACAUCGAUACCCCUCACUAGUAAAGUGUAUCAGUGAGUGUAUGAUGGAAGUAUCAUCACAAUUUUUGCAUAUUAUUUUUGAGUUUGCGAUAGUAUAUAAAAUAUCACCUCGUUCCGUCACAAAUUAUAAAUUCUGUCACUAACCAACCAUAACCUACUACAAAUGGGUUGGAAACCAGCAGAAAGAAAAUUAUAUUUCAUUUUCCAUAAAUAGAUUUAUUUGUUGUUUAUGGAGCCACUAGGAGGGGCGGCGGCGGAGGAGGAGUCGCCUAUUGUAGUUUUUAUAAUAAUUCAACACAUUCAGUCUAAUAAGCAAAAUUAAUAAUAUAAUAAUUUAAAGAAGAGCAAAACAAAAUCCACACCCAAUGAAAAAAAUCGCUUCUUUCUUUCUCCUUCGAAGAUUCCAAGCAAGUAUCCAGACAUUAAAAACAAAAGCCAAUAUAUAAUAAAAACAAAAAGUAUGGAUAUUGCUCCAAGUCAUCAACUUUGAAUAUAAAUCCCAUAAUAUUUACUUUUUUUAGGUAUUUAAAUAUUCUUCCGUUUUUUCAUUUAAAUCGAGCCCAUGGUUUUGGAAUACUUUCAUAUAGCCUUUUUUGGGGGUCAAAUCAAUCUGAAUUACUAUGUUUAUUUUACAAUAUUAUAUUUAUCUCCAAAAUUUUUAAAUACAACGAUUGAAAAAGUGUAGAAAAUAAUUAAUUUAAAAAAAGAAAAAGAAAAGAAGUAGCAAAUGUUGUAAAUGUUCCAUAUCUUCAAUUAUUUACCUGAAAAUUUGAUACCUUAUGUCAACAUUUGUUUUAUGAUCAAUAUAUAUCAAUACUUUUUAAAAUUAAAAUAUUCACCAAAGUGAUAAGAAUAUAUAUAAUCCAAAAUUUUAAACAUUUUUAUUUUCAAACUCAAUAAAUAAUAUAUUUUAAGCUAUUUUGUUAAUACUAAUUUCUUGAUAAAUAUGUUUUUAAAUUAAUUACAUUGAAAUAAUAGUUGGUUUAGUUUUUAAAUUCCACAAGCAAGAUUAAGGUUGCCUGUGAAAUAAAAAAUUAUUUUAAAAAAGAGACAUUUGACAAUUUUUAAGGUUGCUAGUGAUGGAAAAUCAAUCACACCACGUUUUUUUAAUUAAGUGUUAUAGCCAGUUUGUUGACUCCUAUUUUUUAGCAAGACUGUUAGACAAAUAAGUUUGUUUAAUCUUUAUGGGACUAUUCUGUUUUCAUUAGUCUGUUAGUAGAAAAUUUUACUUUCACGAUUUAAUUUCUCUGUAAACCUAUAUAAAGGCAUAAUUGCUGAAGUUAAUGAUAGUGAAUUGAUUUUGAUUAUUUUCCUCUCGUGUUAAUUAUUCCUUUAAAGUUUGUCAUCGGCGAUAUCAGAGCCAGGUUUAGAGUGUUUUGUGUUGUGUUCCAGAUACGAUGUCACAACAUUCGAGUGAAUCCGAUAGAUUUGUUCAACCUACUAUUCCUCGCUUUGAUGGUCAUUAUGAUCAUUGGAGCAUGUUGAUGAAAAAUUUCUUAAGGUCAAAAGAAUAAUGGUCUGUCGUUGAGGAUGGAAUCCAAGAGCUAGAAGUUGGAACCAGUUUGACAGAUACACAGAAGAUGGAGACUAAAUUCCUAGAAAUAAAAAUAUAUGGACUAAUUUUUAAAUUUAUGAAAAGUACAAGGACUUAUGACAUAUUUUAACAAUUUAUUAUGUUUAUACUAUAAUUUAAUUUGAAUAUUUGUUAAUGCCAAAAGGAUAAUAAUAACAUGACAUAUUAAUGAUAAUGAUGAUGAUGUGUGAAAAUAAAAAUACUUCACAUUUAAAUUGAUUAUAAUUAUAAUUUAUAUAUUUUAUAUAUCAUAAUAUUAAUGAAAUUGAGUUUAUAUAUUCUAUAUAUUAUAAUAUUAACAAUUUGAGUUUUUUAGUAUUUCUUAUGCAUUUAGUUUUGCUUUUGGAAGUGGUUUCAGGGAUGGUUUUGACAUCGUCCACUCCAGUUUAGUGGAUGUUCGAUUCUUUUGCCAAUUGUGUCUACUACUUAAGAUCAUCCGAGGUUAAUUUUCUCAUAGUGUUAAAUGUUUGCAAUUGCUCCAAAUAAUCAUACUUGAGUUGUGAUGGAGACGAUUGCUAACUUGCUAUAUAUUAUCGAUUUUAUAGCAUAAUAUUUAAAAGUAAAUUUUUACCGCCAUACUAAAAAUUUUAAAUAUUUUAAGAGUAAAUUUUUUUAAAGCGAAAAUGCUUCGAAAUUAUAUUAAAGUGAGAAAUGGGGAGUGGGAGUCAAGAUAUUGAUGUCUGUAAUAGGCGGCCAUAGAUUCAUAUCCGUCGUUAGAUAUAAAUAUAUUAAUCAUUUUUUAAAAUAUUCGAUAUUUUUAUGCAAUAUAAAUAUACCCUUGAGGGAUUAGUUUAGUGUAAGAUUGAGUUAAAUCAGUUGAGGUUUCAAAUAAGGAUAGUCAGUUUGCAACUCUCCUAAUUUCUUCAUCAUUUAAAGAAAGAAACAAAAGCAUGGAUCCAAGCUUGAGAGAAGUAGCUGGAACAGGAAAUAUUGAUGCCUUGUACUCUCUAAUUGGAGAGGAUCCAUACAUGCUGGAGCAUAUUGAUCAGAUUCCUUUCAUCGAUACUCCACUUCACAUAGCAGCAAAUAAAGGCCAAAUUAAGUUUGCAAUGGAGAUUAUGAACUUGAAGCCUUCGUUUGGUCGGAAGCUAAACCAAGAUGGGUUUAGCCCCAUGCACUUGGCCUUCAAAAUGGGGCAUACCAAGCUAGUGCUUCGACUGUUGAAGACCGAUAAAGACCUGGUUCGCGUCAAAGGAAGGGAAGGGAUGACCCCUUUCCAUUGUGCAGCUGCAGCGGGGAACUCUAAUCUUUUAUUCCAGCUCCUUGAAACUUGCCCUGAAUGCGUUGAGGAUGUCACGGUUCGUGACGAGACUGCAUUACAUCUUGCUCUGAAAAACGACCACACCGACGCUUUUAAUUUCUUACUUGGAUGGCUUCGAAAGAACCGUCGUGGAGGAGGCAAGGAUUUGGAAAGAAAGGUUGUGAAUUGGAGAGAUGAUGAUGACAACACUGCGUUGCACAUUGCAGCUACAAAGCAACAACACCAGGUAUAGAUGCAUUAUAAUGAUAAGUUGCGUAUAUUCCUUUGAUAAUCUUAUUAAUGACUGUUUAUAAUAUUCUACGCAGGCCGUGCAACUGUUGUUGGAUUCCUUUUAUGGGUUAGAUGUAAAAGCUAAGAACUCGGAAGGCUUGACAGCUCGAGAAAUCAUAGAAAAUGUUGGGAGACAAGGGUUGAACAUGAGUAGCGCCGAAGACGAUGAUAGGACCACCGCCAAGAUUAAGCGCAUUAAGAAAAGAACUAGUCGGUCUGAAAGAGCAUUAGUAAAGUUGAUUCGUACAAAGAAUGGGUUGUCGGAGAACAUGAUCAACGCAACACUGGUGGUAGCGGCGCUGGUCAUAACAGCGAUCUACCAAUCAUCUUUAAGCCCACCGAGAGGUCUUUGGCAAGGUGAUAACACUAGUAACCCCACCACCACCUCAAACCUUACUACUACCACUAAAUUUAAACUCUUUAACGACAAUUACGCUGAAAAACUUUCUAAACAUGUGUUGGGUGAAGAAACAAUGAAAACUGGUACGGCAAUCAUGAAUCCCAACUUGUUUUUAGGGUUUUGGUUAUUCAAUUUUAUAGCAUUUGGGCUUCCGGUUCUUCUAACCGUUUUCCUUUUAUACGAUGUAGCUCGUAUUCUUCUUCUCCCGCUUUAUUUUCUAUCCGUCUCCUACUUUAACUGCAUGACAAUAAUAUCUCCGUCCAUGUUUUGGGCAAACCUCAACUUUGUUGUCAUGUGGGCAGCCAUUAUUCUCCCGUCUGUCUUUGUUUUUGGAGGCGUAUGGUUAUGCAUGCUGCCAAAGUACCGGGAAAUCAGACAAAUGCGCAGACGUGUCCGCAAUGACAAUAAUAUCGGAAUAAUUCAGUACUUGCGAAUGUCAGUCUAACUUAUAUAUUAUAUUAUGUACCCUUUUCCAUUUUCUUUGUAUUAAUAUCUUUUCUUAUUGAAAAAAAAAAACACUAUGUAAUUGCUUUGGAUAAAUUUAAUAGAAAUAAGAUUACCUUUCCCGACAGAUAUAUUUGAAGUAUCGUUUGUUCAAAAUCAACUUAUUUCUAAAUGUGUUAAUAUUAUUUUCGAGUUAUUAAUUAAAAAUAUCUUUAACAUAAAGAUAUAUGUAAUAUAUAUAUAUUUUUAUUAUUUUGUUUAUAUAAUAAAAGAGUUAUUGAUUAAAAAGAUGAAUUAAAAAAUUAAAAAAUAAUAUAUUUAUUAAUUAAAAAGUACUAUUUUUUAAAAUAAUAUGAAAUAAAAAUACAAAUAUGAGUAAGAGAUAAAUUAAAACCGAGACUCAAAAAUAAAAUGACUAACAUUUAAUUAUUUGACCAAAUAAAUUAAUGUGUCAAGUUAUUGAAGAAAAUACAUUUUAUCCCCACAUUUCUUUCUCCAAAAUUAAUCUAUUUCUACAAAUAUUAAAAAAAUCAACCUUAACACUAAUUAUUUUCUAAAAAGGACAUACGUUGCGAGUAUGCCUUAAACCUAGGAAGGGUGGCUGUGGUGCGCCACACUUUCUAACGCAAAUAAUAAUAAUAAUAAUAAUAAUAAUAAUACAUUAAUCUAAAUUACAUGAGAGUUUGGUGUCCCCUUUUCUUAAUUCUAAACAAUAAAAUCUCAAAAAUAAGAAUAAUAAAAUAAAAUAAAAUAAUUGUAUUUAUAUAGAAAUGAUAAAUUAAGUAAAAUAAAUAAUAAAAAUAUGUCAAUUAACUAAUUUCACUAUCAUUUAAAUAUAUUUAUCUUUUGAAAAAUACUUUUUCUUUUUUAAACAAAGGGUGGACAUCAUCAAAAAUAACUUAGAAAAGUAGAAAUUGUAGCCGUACUAGAACAUUUUUCAUCUAAACAUCAGAAUAUUAAAAUGCUGAAAAACCUCCAAAUUUACCGUUCUCUACAUCCAUUACUAAUCGUAGACGGUGACAAAGACAUUCGACAGAUGAUAAGCAUAAAAAAAAUACUCUUUUAACUACAAUACUAAAAGCGUCCGCUAACCAUUUUUCAAUUAAGAUAUUAAUCAAGACGGAUUAAUUUAGUGUUAAAUAGAGUAAGUCUAGGGGUGGGUUUGGAUGGGUGAUUGGGUGCGGUGCGGUGCGUUUAGUUUACUUUUUGUCUCACGCUACAGUGUCUAAUCUCACCGCCACCGCUGUUUUUACACUAACCUCAAAUAAACCCACCGCCCAUCCAAACUCACCCUAGACUAAGUCCGUGGAUGAAUUUCCGCAUCUUUUUUUAGGCAUUAAAUUGAGAGCCAAUCAGAGCCUUCCCCUUACUACCAAUCUAUAAAAAAUUGGAUCUUUGGUUUGAUUUUAUCAAUAAAAGAAAUUCCUUCCUCGGUUUCUUAAAUUUGAUAACUUUUAUCAUUAUCAUUAUUUUAUUAUAUAAAAUAAUUUUGUUCACUUUUCAUCAAUAAUGAGAUCAAUUGUUUCGCUAAUAGAAUAGAAAAUAGAUAGUUACUCAAUAUUAUAAUGGUACCAUGUGUUUUUAUGUUUUUAAUUUUUAAUAUAAUUAAUGUUAUAACCCUCCUUAUGAAGCUAGUUAAUGUAAAGGAUAAUAAUUCUAAUUAUCUGUGCUUAAAAUUAAUUCAGUUGUGCUUUCAAUCAAUGUCUGAUUUUGAUAUUGCAAGAGGUGUCCAGCUAUGUGGUGAGAUCUUGAAGGUGUGUCUUUGUAACAACUUGAGAAGCUUUUUGGAUUUUUUUCUUCUUCUUUUAGGUUUAUUAUUAGUAAAUGAUUUUUUGCUGCGAAAAAUUAGCUUAAAAAUAAAAUAUAAAAAUGAUAGGAAAUAUAUGUUAAUUUUAUACAACGACAAUUAAUGACAUUGCAAUAUUACUUAACAACAUGAACAAUCCCCACCAUCGUAUUGUCAUUCCCAAGUAAUGGCGUAUUCUCUUUACUUGGAAAAUAUCCCUCCUAACGCUGGCCGAAAUUGGUUGAAACAUUAUGCAGCUAAUUUGGUAAGAUCAUGGACGUGUUUAUUGCAUCAAAAAGAAAUAGAAGAGGUCGUCGGUUUUGUUUCGUUAGGUAUGGUAGGCUGGAAGAAGCAAAGAGAGCAUUGUGGAGUCUAGAUGGAAGGUGGUUCUCUAAUCAUAGAUUGACGGUCAGUAUGGCGAAGUUUAAACCUAGAGAUGCUUUGUGGAGGAAGGCAAAUGGGAGAGAGGUCAGACAACAUACAUAGAAUAUGGAAAGAAGAUGUGUUGAAGGAAAUACGGGAUCGCAUGUAGAGAAGAAUGCAAGUGAGAUUAUGGCAAAUAAUAAACAACAUGAAGAAAAUGACCCAAUCAAGUUGGACGAGAUGGUGGAAGAUUUAUGAAUUUCCAGAAAAGAUAAGAGAACAAAGUAGUAGAGGGAGCCAUUGAUGGAGAGAACUUGAAGUGGCUUGAAAAAUGUAUUGUGGGUAGAAUGAGAAACAAUGCUACUGUGGGGUUAUGGGGUGAUGCUGGAAUUUAUAAAAUUGGAGUCCAAAGAUCAUCGGGUAAUGAUUGGUAUGAAUUGGAAGCCAAUGAAUGGGGAGAUGUUUUGCAAGUGUUCAGAAAGUUGAACGGUGGACAACGAAGAUGAAAGAUUAAGGUGGUUAUCCUGUUACGAGAUUCCAAUACAUGCUUGGUCUUCGAAGAUUUUGACGUACUGUAUAGGCGGCCACCGAUUUAUAUACCUCGUCAUAUAUAGAUAUAUUAAUCAUUUCUUAAAAUAUUCGAUAUUUAUAUUCAAUAUAAAUCUACCCUUGACGGAUUAAUUAGUUUAGUGUAAGCCUGGUUUAAAUCAGUUGAGGUUUCAAAUAAGGAUAGUCAGUUUGCAACUCUCCUAAUUUUUUCAUCAUUUAAAGAAAGAAACAAAAGCAUGGAUCCAAGCUUGAGAGAAGUAGCUGGAACAGGAGAUACUGAUGCCUUGUACGCUCUAAUUCGAAAGGAUCCGUACAUGUUGGAGCAUAUUGAUCAGAUUCCUUUCAUCGAUACUCCACUUCACAUAGCAGCAAAUGAAGGUCAAAUUAAGUUUGCAAUGGAGAUGAUCAACUUGAAGCCUUCGUUUGGUCGGAAGCUAAACCAAGAUGGGUUUAGCCCCAUGCACUUGGCCCUCAAAAUGGGGCAUACCAAGCUAGUGCUUCGACUGUUGAAGACCGAUAAAGACCUGGUUCGCGUCAAAGGAAGGGAAGGGAUGACCCCUUUCCAUUGUGCAGCUGCAGUGGGGAACUCUAAUCUUUUAUUCCACUUCCUUGAAACUUGCCCUGAAUGCGUUGAGGAUGUCACGGUUCGUAACGAGACUGCAUUACAUCUUGCUCUGAAAAACGACCACACAGACGCUUUUAAUCUCUUACAUGGAUGGCUUCGAAAGAACCGUCGAGGA